UACAGAGGUCUCAAGCGUUGUUCGGAUUCAUUGGGCGUAAAGGGUGCGUAGGUGGCGGGGCAAGUUUGGUGUGAAAUCCCGGGGCUCAACCCCGGAACUGCACUGAAUACUGCUUGCUUGAGCACUGGAGAGGGAACUGGAAUUUACGGUGUAGCAGUGAAAUGCGUAGAUAUCGUAAGGAAGACCAGUGGCGAAGGCGAGUCCUGGGACAGUGCUGACACUGAGGCACGAAGGCCGAGGGGAGCAAACGGG
rnacentral:rRNA from 1 species